UAAGAUCUGUCUGAUCUCCUGAUAGAGAAAAACCACAACCGGGUCACAGAGCGGGGCGACAGCGGGCGAGCAGAGGGCGGCACAGAGACCGCAUCACCUGCCCUGUACCUCACCCAGGUGCAACCCCGACUGGAGGUACGAGUCGUCCAGCUCAAGUGAAGAGGUGCCGCUGUUCAGGCGUCAGGGACCGCGCAGCAGAUUGCAGCCCCUCCGGUUCCGGACGGGAAGCCGCUGCCGCCAUCUUGGCUGUAGAUCGGCUCUGGGCUCCGCUGAGGACAGUUCCAGCUCCAGCGAGGAGGACUGAGCCGCGGACACCUGGAUGAAGAGGGGGGCCCGGCCGAUCGGAGGGGCCCCGGACACCAUGGGGGCCGAAUAUCUUAUUUAAAUGAUACAAUUAGUGAUAGAAAUGAGUGAGUCUGUAUAAUUGUAAUGAAAGAAAGCAGUAGAUUGUGAGCUCUGGGGCUCAGCCUCAUCCACCCCCCCCCCUUACCCCUUUCACUGUAUUUUAAUUAAAAGGACGAGUCACCUUUAUAUAAUAUUAUUUGUGUCAUCAGCAAAUUAUGACUCUUGUCACCUGGAAACCAUCAGUGAGCAGGAGAGCUGCUGCCGACAGAUCCCAUUGUAGCUUGUGUGGCAUUCAAAUUGACUCAAAAGGGGUCAGGAGACCGGAGAACAGACGAGAGGCGGAGAACGGACGAGAGGCGGAGCCUCGCUGACAAUGAGGACGGCGGGGUUGUGAUCGGAUGUGACCCGUUAUAAUCACCUGCCUGAUGUAUAAUAAUAAACUAUAUUAUGAGAUGUUA